rnacentral:piRNA from 1 species
UAGUAUAAAUGGAUUUGACCUGCCGUAC